AGUGAACGCUGGCGGUAGGCCUAACACAUGCAAGUCGAACGGCAGCACAGUAAGAGCUUGCUCUUACGGGUGGCGAGUGGCGGACGGGUGAGGAAUACAUCGGAAUCUACUUUUUCGUGGGGGAUAACGUAGGGAAACUUACGCUAAUACCGCAUACGACCUACGGGUGAAAGCAGGGGAUCUUCGGACCUUGCGCGAUUGAAUGAGCCGAUGUCGGAUUAGCUAGUUGGCGGGGUAAAGGCCCACCAAGGCGACGAUCCGUAGCUGGUCUGAGAGGAUGAUCAGCCACACUGGAACUGAGACACGGUCCAGACUCCUAAGGGAGGCAGCAGUGGGGAAUAUUGGACAAUGGGCGCAAGCCUGAUCCAGCCAUACCGCGUGGGUGAAGAAGGCCUUCGGGUUGUAAAGCCCUUUUGUUGGGAAAGAAAAGCAGCAGGUUAAUACCCCGCUGUUCUGACGGUACCCAAAGAAUAAGCACCGGCUAACUUCGUU
rnacentral:rRNA from 1 species